CUACAACUAAACCUAUUUUUGAUGAACAUCAUUGGAGGAUCCAGGGGCGGAGAAUUAAAAAAAUAGUGCUCCAGAUUGAAAUAAUGACAUGCAUCAAAUAAACUGUACUUAUGUGAGUCAAUUCUAGCCAGAUGACUCUCCACUGCAAGUUCAACCAUGCAAGUGACGAAGGAUUGAGACGAUGACCUUGGAGAUGUCAUACACCAAAUCUUGAGGCUCAUCAACACUUUUUGGACCGUGUGCCACUAUCUGAAAAAGGGCUGCAUGUCAACUUCGUGAAGUGACAUCUGGAUGCCUCUUGUGAGCCCGUAAUUAAAGCUAGGUUCCUAGCUCUUUUUUUAGCCUAACUACCAGCGUUUUAUGGACGGUGUCUGAAUUUGUGUUUUGUUUUUGCUAUGGCUGUUGCUAUGGGCUCAUAGUGUGCUAUAUUGCAUCAAGUGGUGUAUCCAUAGCCACUUUUUUAGCCAUGCCCAUAGUUUAUUGUUCACAAAGUAGACUUAUUUGUUUCUACCAAACUCCAACAACGCAAUGUAGCUCGGUACCUCACAUCAGCUGAUAAAAAUUGGCCGGCUAGGUGGCCUCAUUGGCAAGGCAUUGUCGGUUUAUCAUUGCAAUCAAGUACAAAUGUGAAUGGUAGUAAGGAAUACAAAUGUAAAGAUAGUACUGAAGAACAAACAAACAAACAAGCACUUAAAAUAUCAGACAAUUCAUUUUAUAAUUUUUUCCCCCCAAUCACAUUGUGGCAGGCCUGCGGGGUAGGGGCCAGUCCCCGCCCAUAACUCUCCCACCCCUAUACACCACUGAUGGCUACAGAUCAAUUAGUAAACAAACAUAAUUUUAAAUAGUAAUCAAAUUUCGUCUUUGCUAGACUCGCAGUGAUGGUCAUGUGCCCCAUGCACAUGGCCAUGUGAAAUAGCAGCCACUGAUACUGUUUCUCAUUGUAUGAAAAGGUGCCCGACUAAAUUGUCUUCUAGGUCCAACUUUAAAGAGCUUAUAAAAAGAUUCCAUUACAAUGCAAAAAACAACCUAUGAAACACCAGUCACAGAUGCUAAACAUGAAAUGUUAUUAUAGAUGGUGACUUUUUCUGGUAAGCAUAAUUAUUUUGUUCUAAGCUAGUUUUUGUGAAAAUACAAAAUUUGCAUGCAUUUAAAAUGUCGGACCAUUCAUUUAUGUUUUUUCCCCCAAUAUAAUUGUGGCUGGCCUGCGGGGUAGGGGCCAGUCCCCGCCCAUAACUCUCCCACCCCUAUACACCACUGAUGGCUACAGAUCACAUGUCAACCACAAACAGAUCAAUUAAUAAACAAACAUAAUUUUAAAUAGUUAUCAAAUUUCUUUGCUAGACUAGCAGUGUGGUCAUGUGCCCCUUGUAAAAUAGCAGCCACUAAUCAGAGAAAUAAUUUAGCUCAUACCAAUUAGUAAACACAACGGAAACUGUAUUUAUUCAUCAUUAAUGAUGAUAUUGUC